UGUUUUUACACAGCCUCUUAUUGGUCAGGGUCUCAACAAGUAGGCUAGGUUGGCUGCCCGGGGAGCCUAGAGACGUGCCAGUGCAUGCGCACCGCCGCACCAGCCUUUCGAGGGUAGACUCGUGCAAGUGGGGUUUGUGCCCACUAGUUUUAUGUCAUCUUGGCACAAGGGACAGAAGCUAGAGUCAUUGGAGAGGAUACACCCACCAGAGUGGCCUGUGGUGCAUUUUCUUAAGGAUGACUGGUGCGGAGGGCGGAACGCACUGUGGGCGGUGCCACCCCUUGGCUGGUGUAUUCCGGGUGUUAGGAGAAAGCAGGCUGAGCAAGCCAUGGGGACCAAGCAGGAUGUAGUUCUCAACUACUCCAGCAUCGUGUCUCCUGCAUGUCACCAGGCUUCCUGCUUAAUGAUAAUGGAUUCAACCUCUGAAACUUUCUGGUGCCCGGAAGUCCAAGAUGGAGUCCAGCAUCUUGCUGCACCCUUGAAUGGCAGAAGAGAAUAUAAAAGCACCCCUGCUUGCCUGGACCUUUUAAUGGUGGCGUGAGUCCGCUCCUGAAGGUGUUCUGGAAGUUGUUGACUGUUGCUACAGCACAUGACCCAGUGGCGCACGGCACGUCUCUCCCAGGAUAGUACUCCAGGAUGACGUGCUGGCAUUUCGAGUUGGCUAUGGGCCGUGGGUGCCCCACGGAGCCUGGCAAGCGCUGCACCUCAGGGCCAGAUGGAUGGUUUUGUUGACUGUCUAGACUGGAGCAAGUCGCAGAGGGAACAUUACCAACCCGGUCAACUUCAAGCCCAGGACCACCUGAUCUCACCCACAGUGGACUGAGCCCUCCAACGCAAACCAGCAGUCCAGGCAGUCCCCCAUGGACACACACACAGGCCAGGCUGAUGGAGGCAAUUCUUCAAUUGAAGGUCCCUCUUCCCAGGUGUGUCUACUUGACAACCAAGAUUAGCAUCACAAAGACAAGGCUUGGGCUCUGAGCGUGGGAAGGGAGUGAGACUGCAGCAAAUGAGAAAGCAUCCCAUGUUCAUGGACAGGAAGAGGUGGUGGUGUUUAGAUGGCCAUGUUUUCCAGGCUGAUCUGCAGACACAAGGUCCCUCUUGGCACCCGGAUGGCUUCAUCCUACAGUUCACAAAUUCCACAGGGAACCAGAACAGCCCAGACAGUAUGGAACAGAACAGAGAGGGCUCAGAUGUCUGCUGAGCCAUGCUAACCAGGACAGUGUGUUCUUGGCAUUAGGAGGUGUAUUAGUCACUAGGAUAGAAUUUAGAGUUCAGAAAUAAGCCUCACGUUUAUAAUGAGUUGACUUUUGACACACGACGAUUUCUCAUGGUACUGGGACUAGUGGAUGUUCACAUUCAAAAGCCCUAAACUUCACCAUAUGCAAAAUUAAUUCAGGAUGGACCAAAGGCUUGUGUGAAGAGUCUAAAUUAUCAAGCUGAGAGAAAUCUUCACAGACUUGCAUUAAGUUAGUUUUUUUAGGUAUAAGGCUAAAAGCACAGCCAAUAAAAUAAAAAUAGGUUAAUUGGCCUCCCCCAGAAUCAUUUGCCUUCUGUGCUCUCUGGAGUGAAUAUCUCUUCAUGUCUAGUUUGAUUUUUUUUCCUAAUCAUUUUCUCAUCUCUUCUCCCCGUUCCCUCUCUCCCUCCCGCUUCUCCUUCUUUGAGACAGGGUCUAACGAAUCUCAGGCUACCUCCACCUGGCUGUGUAACUGAGGGUGAUGUUGGUCGUCUCAUCCUCCUGCCUCUGCCUCCCAAAUGCUGAGAUUACAAGCCAUGCUUCACCACACGCCAUUCAUGUCGUGCUGAGGACUGAACACGGGCUCUGUGUGUGCUAGAGGAGCAUUCUCCAAACCGAGAUCCACCCCAGCCCUAAUGUGAUGCUUUCUUGUUUCUCUCUGAGUUUCCUUUAUGUGUUUCCGCUGCUGUUAUUUGUUGCCUUUGUAGCUGCAAAUGUUUUCCUCUCGUCUAUAUAGGGCUUGUCUUUUCUUCUUUGUAACAGGACCUGUCACGGAGCAGAGCUUUCUGGAGGAAUAAUUGAUAUUUUUAUCAUGCUCUUUCGAUCCAUGCUCAAGGUAUGUAUGCCUAUCUUUGGUUUAGAAUUUCUUUCGAUGGUUUUUUUGUUUGUUGGGGGCGGGGUUAAGUCAUGUAUGCACGAUAUUUUUAUAUCUGCAUCUAAGUAUUUAAUUUGGGGUGGAGGGGCUUGUGGCUGUUACAGCAUUUUAAACAUUCCUGUUCUUAUGUUUGAUAUGAGUAGGUAGAAAUCAAUAGGUUAAUGGCUUCUCAUCCAGUGUUCUGCAGCUUUUUAAACUCAUGCUUCUGAAUCUCUGUGAAUUCUUUAGAAUUUUCUGCGUCAUAUGCAAGGGGGAUUUUUUUCUUCCUUUCCUACCUCCUCACCCUGGCUCCAGCACUCAGUACUACCCUGAACAGCACAGAUGGGUGCAGGCAUUUCGCCGUGCUUCUGGAGUCAUUUGCUUUUGAUUUUUUGAACGUUUUUUUUAAGAGUAGCUUCAGGUUCCUAACACCACCAGUGGCCCUCCCCCCUAAACACACCUAGCGUCUCCAAUUCCAACAUUCCACUGGAGCCACGUUCACCCACAGUCAGUGACCCAUGUUCACCCCACGGUCAGUGACCCACGUUCACAGGUCAUCAUCAUCAGGCUUCUGGGUUUUCCAGAGGCUCGGCACACUUCCUGCUCUGUAUCCUGUGGGUUUGGACACAGGUGUAGUGAUAGGGACCCAACCUUACAGCACCAUGUGCGGCUACUCCAGUACUCAGAGCAGCAGGACAGCCACGCCCAGCCUCCCAAACCUUAUCCUGCUGUUGUUGCCCUCACCAUGCGACCCAGGCUGCACCCACUCAGAACAGGGUCUGCCCGGCCCUGUUUUCUCUUUGGGAUCUCAAACAAACCUUGAGGGGUUCAGGAUGGACCUGUGACCCCGCCCUCUACCCCUUGUCUGAGCCCCCAGAUUCUGGUGCUCUUUCCCCCUCAGCCCAGAGCGAAUUAAACCGCUCCAGUUCUCAGUGUGUGUUCGAAACAUCAAAACCAAGUGCAAUCAGGAGAACAGUUCAUUUGACUUCUCCUUUAUUAAAACUAAGGACGUCAUUAUAAAAACCACUAUAUAGAAAGACAAACGCAGCGAGACAGCAUCGGUGUAAACACGCCGCUAAUACAUCAAAUUCGGAAGGGGGACGAUUAUCUGAUAUCAGGUUUUUGUUUUUUGUUCUUAUUUUGGUUUUCCCGGUCAUGGGCUCUGAGAGAGGCUCCCCCAUGCCUUCUCCAUAUGAGCCUGGCGCUUCUAGCAUAGAGAUGCCUUCCUGCCCCACCCCGCCUACCUGGCUUUGUCCCACUGACCCAGGGAGAAACAA